rnacentral:lncRNA from 1 species
GUGAAUAACAUCAGGAGGCACAGGAACUUAAGUGUUGGAGCUAACUGGGAUAUAUAUUACAUAGUGGCCUUGUCCCUUCCGGACUUGGGCAAUCACGGGCGUGUGCUCUGUUUUUCUGGCCGGUAGAUCCAGUAGUAAAUAAUCCUUGUUUGGUGCGUCCUCCAUGAAUCAAUCAAGGUGCUUUAAUCCUUAUGGCAGAAAGAAGUCCUCCCAGAGCAACCUAACUGGCACUGUAGCAAUUACUUGGUUCUUGCACAAAUGCGUCAGACAAUACAAACUGCACAAAAUUCUCUUCAAGAAUCAAGGAUAUAUCUACUAAAAGGCAAAUAAAUUAAGAGCCAAUACAAAAACUUCAAUGCUAGUACUUUACCCUGAUCAAUCCUUUCUUAUCACCAUGCUUUUUAUGCUUCCGCAGCCACAUGUAAUCUCCAUUGACAAUCAUCGCUCAUCGGCAUGAACUGGCACUUCUCUGUGCGCCAAUGCAUCCUCUGGUUGGUGCCAGCGCUCGCCGGCCAACCUGCAACUGUUACCAGAUAGAUCAAUCAGAAGAACAUAAGCAUCAUAGACGAUAGUCGUCAACCCAUCUAUUUGCAAGUCCUAGCAUUUUGUACAACACCUAAAGAUAAAGGUACUAAAAUCAUUUAUUAGAUACACAAUAUUUAGAUAUAUAAACUAAAUUAUUAUAUCAGUCUCUUGAACCAAUCGAAAGGAAACAUGCAAAUUUCGGUUUACUUAAGAAGAAUGUAAAUUUUGUCAUACUAAAUGCUAAGAAAAAUGAUCCAAAUUCAGAGGUACAUCAAAUCACAAUUAUAGUAUUGAAAGAAAACACACAAAAGGCAUUUUUAUCUCUUCCCAAAAUAGGAUAAAAAAAUUAAUGAACAAUUAGACUUUUCAAUGGUUCAUAGAUGAAUACACUGUACCACAAAGAGUCUUAAAUUGUAUAUUGUGUUACCUAACUUAUUUAGAUAGGCAAAUAAUCCAAAAAUAUAACAAAAAAGUAUUGCUACAGAAAAAUGUAACAUGAAACAUGAAAUGUAAGAACCAAAUAGAGGAACAAACAUUUUGUGGCCACUUGAUUGUAAAAGGAAUGGACACUAAAGUUACUAUAAAUUUUUAACUUUUCUAUAAGGUGAGGUAGUAACAAGCCAAAAAAAUAUGACAUCUCAUUUCUUUUGGCGCAUUCACCUCAAUUAUUUUCUUAUUCUUGUUUUUUGCAUAAAAUAUAAGGCAUGUGUGUAGACAGAUGACUGAACUAUUGGACUCUAUGUGCAUCCUUUUUGUGAGCUUAUACGACUAAAAAUCAGGAAGAGAUUGCAAACUUGGAAAUCAUAGAAACUUACAUUUAGUUUUGUAUUUAGUUAUUAAUCGAUAUGAUUUUCCAUUUAUCCCACUACCAAGACCCAAGCUUGCAUUACUCAUUACUCAGUGCCCUGCAUAUUUUGUGAAAGGCUCUUAGUUGAGAUAUUCCAUGUCCAAAAAAUACAAUUUAUUUAAUGCGUUCGUAAUUCUGAAUCAGGUACAAAAAGAAGCAGACAAAUAUUACUUAUGUCUUAUAAGUUUGAUACAUGUGCCACCUAAUAAAUUUUCCCAAAAAGGAAAGCUGAGAGGUCCUAUGCAGCACCAUCAUGUGUUUCUUCUUUCUAGUUUAGAGACAACCUAAGAUUUCACUACUGAUAAGGAGAAUCUCCUUACUAAGGAAAUUACCAGGUCAUACCAUGGGCAUAAGAAUUGUUCUUCGGAAUUUCAUCACCAUAUUAAAAAAGUAUUGAAGGAGAGGUCUGUAAAAAAAUCAUCCAUUAAUGUGUGCGAGCACUACUAAAACAACUAUAGCACACAAUAACCAACAAUCUAUAUAGAAUCCGGUCACUUUGAAAAGUUAAAAUGAUUUAUAUAAUAUAUUAGAGAAUUGUGCCAGCUAGACCACUGAUCAUGAAGUAAAAUAUUUAGAGAAAUAUCUUUACAAAAGACAACUAUUAUUGGUACAAAAUUUGGAAGGGUAGUCACUGAAACGAAAUUCCUUUCUAACUGAAUACAACACUGAUCAAAUUAUACAAUUGACAGUAACUUGUGUAAGAUAAUAUUACGUACGACAAAAUCACUGGAUAGAGGACUCCCUCGGUAUUAAUGUAUUAAUCGCCGCUCAAGAACACAUAAUUGAAGUACUGUAACGAAUGGCCCAAAUGAAAUUUUAUAUAUGUCAGCAAAACAAACUACAAAAGGGCAUGUUAUUUAAUACACCACGGAAUAAUUUGAGCAAAUUUGAUCGUAGCAGGUCUGAACAUGCAAGAUUAGCAUCACAAAUCAUAGCUUCUAUAACAUCAGAGUCCAUAGCAUCAGAGGCCGUACCUUUCGCAGUGUGUGAGUUUCUCAUUCCAGCACACAUACAUUGUCAUGUACCAGCUGUUUGUAGAGCUCAUCCCAAUGAGAAUUUGUAUCUUCUUUAGUUAUUAUGUCUCUUAACAGUUAGGAUAGCAUUAUAACUAAGUUGAUGAGUUGUUAGGUUUUUGGUUGGUGAUGUCUCUUGUUAGAUUUAACCUGGAAUAAAAAAAUUAUAAUCUAGGAGUUACUCAUCUGUUGGCUUUACUCAACAACUUUUUAAUUAGAAGGAGCUCCUAACAUAGAUCAUCUACAAACAUAAAUUCUAUUCCAUGGCAUAUGGAUUUGCUAUUAACGUAUUGAUUUGUAUCUAUAUGUUUACACCAAAUCAAAAUCAAAUGGAAGCAUCGUACAUCAUUAUUCCAAGGAAAUAAGCUAAGAGCAUGCAUCUUCAUUCUUCAAUAGAGUUCUGCUCGGUGUUCAGUGCAUAUAAUAAUUUAGUGCUACAAUUGGUAUUCCUCCAGACUAUGCUUUUUCAUACAGCAAAUUAGCACCUCAUCUCCAUAGGAGCUGUGAAAUUUUUACUUUGGUCUCUCUUUCCCCUGUUUGCAAAUCAAUUUAUGUUUCACCCCAUCUUCAUAGUAGAAGUAAAGGGACACGAUUAGCUGAUGAUAUUCAAAUCCACAUAAACUCUGUUUGCACCUACAGAUGACAACGACUACUCUGUAUGCACCUAUAGAUAACAUCAACUACUCUGUAUGCACCUGAUAUUAACUUUCCUAUAAAAUAAAUAUACGCAUAUAACAAUACUUACAUCCUUUUAAUAUGAAAUACACAAAAAUCAAAUAUCAGACAGUUGUUGAUGUUACUAUGACAACACGACAAAAAGAAUCCACAUUAAUAUUGUUGACCUUCUCACCCCGUAGUCUAAAAUUAAAAUUUUCUAUCCUGUGUAUUCCAAGAGUUGUAAAUAUUAGGAAUCACGGUAUUUGUACUCAUUUAAUUCCUUUUGAUGUACUCGCUCAAUCUGAAUCACGGUAUCUUCAAUCUUUGAGAUCCCAUCAGUUGUCUAUUUUUCCUCAGACGGUUUGCUAACUUGCAUUGACCAGUUUAUCACGGCAUAUGAUGCUCCAAUGAAUACUAACCUGUCUUACGUCCUAGCUUGCUUUUAUGCAUGCAUCCAUGACGUACAUGAUGUAUAUGCUAUGCCAUGGACCUGAGCAUGUAGUCUGCGAUCGAAGCAGCUUCUUGGAUGCCACGCAUACUGAGCUACAUGCGAUGGGGUUACUCCCGCUUCUCCGGCAUCUCUUGUGCAAGGGCUGCCUAUACUCCCAUGAGAGAUGUGGCCGGGAAACCAGGCUAGGGCGUUAGACGACUUGUGAAUACCGAGGUAGUCGUAUAUAGUCAAGAGAUAUAUUAAUUAUAAGUACACCUGAUGGGCAUAGUUGUGCUCCGGUCCGAUCUCCAUAAGGCAUACAGAAAUUGUACUUCAAAAGAUUGAGGGUUUGAUCCAAAUCGUGAUUAGGAUGAAUUCGAGGACAACCUGAUCAAAAUAGAGAUGCAAAACAAUUAAAUCUGAAUCCAAAUUAAUAUUUUAGAUGACAAAUCAGCAAAAAAAUUGCAAAAUAGAUUGAGGAACGAACCUGAUCCAGAAAUUGUACUUCAAAAGAUUGAGGAUUUGAUCCAAAUCGUGAUUAGGGUGAAUUCGAGGACAACCUGAUCAAAAUAGAGAUGCAAAAUUAUUAAAUCUAAAUCCAAAUUAAUAUUCUGGAUGACAAAUCAGCAAAAAAAUGCAAAAUAGAUUGAGGAACGAACCUGAUCUAGAUCAGGAACGCUAGAUCCAUGGCCCCAUAUGCUUUUUAGAUCCAUCGCCGCGCUUGCUCUGUAUUAGUUUGGUUUCUAGGGUAGAGAGAUUUGAGAGAGAAAGAUUGGAGAGGAAGGGACCGUGGGCAAGAUAUUUGGUUUUCCAUGGGGGAAAGAGAUGGACGGGUGGAAUACUUUCCAUCGUGGGGAGAGGGAAAAAAGGAAGGGACGGUAGAAUACUUUUCAUAUUGAGAUUAGAAUCUGAUUAUUCUAUCAUCUAUUGUUUUUUCUUUUGUUAGCUAAUCUAAACCGUUAUAACUCAGCCCCACAAGAUAGACGGCUCCUAAUUUCUGAUUAAC